GACGAACGCUGGCGGCGUGCUUAACACAUGCAAGUCGAACGAAGUGGCGAACGGGUGUGUAACGCGUAAUCAACCUGCCCUUCAGAGGGGGAUAACAGUUGGAAACGACUGCUAAUACCGCAUACGGAAGGAGGGGAUUGCGUCUGAUUAGCUAGUUGGAGGGGUAACGGACCACCAAGGCGAUGAUCAGUAGCCGGUCCGAGAGGAUGAACGGCCCCAGUGGGACUGAGACACGGCCCAGACUCCUACGGGAGGCAGCAGUGGGGAAUCUUCCGCAAUGGACGAAAGGCUGACUGAGCAACGCCGCGUGAGUUAUGACGGCCUUCGGGGUGUAAAGCUCUUGUAAUCGGGACGCGGUACCGGAAUAGAAAGCCACGGCUAACUACGUGCCAGCAGCCGCGGUAAUUC
rnacentral:rRNA from 1 species